GCAGAGGUUGCAGUGAGCCCAGAUUGUGCCAUGGCACUCCAGCCUGGGUGACAGAGCAAGACAUCAUCUCAAAACAAAACAAAACAAAACCCCAAAUGAAGACCUAUGAUCUCUGGGAUUUUCUUUACUUAGAAACUUUCCAACUUGGCUUAAACCAGCACAAAGGCUUUAUGUCCUGCUCCUCCUCUCCCCGGUGGAUCAACUAAGGUGAGUCUUUCCCUUCACACUGUCCUGGAGGAUAAAGGGUCUCUUCAUUGGUCCUAUGUGUUCCUUUUACCAGAUCACAACUGACUUAAAUGACUAACAAGGGCACCCUUCAAAAAAUGAAGAAGGAGAAUAAAUGUCCCCAAAAGAAAACCUGUUGCCUGAGGGGUCUGUGGGCAAAUGUAGGGAGUAACUAUUCCCAUCCAGUUUUGCUUCAACAACAUGGGUCUGAUGUCUUCACAUAUCACUUCUGUAGGUACAAGAAAUGCUCCAGACUCCGGGCAUUCUGCAGACCUCUCCCAUCUGUAUUUAUUCUUACUUAUUCAGUCUACUUUUCUAUUGUGUUAAAAUGAUUUCCUCCAUUCCCCAAGUUAAUAUGUCUGGCUGUGACAAUUUGCUAUUUUGUCCCAAGUUGACAGUGGCAAUUUUGAAAUUCACCUAAAGAGGAAAGGUCCAUGUGCCAUGGUAUCUGGUAAAGCUUGGAUUCUGUGGUGCUUAUGGGCAGAGGGGCUGAAUCAUAAGAUGAAAAGUGCUCACUGGGAGUGGGCAAUUGGGUUCUGUGCUCUCCCACCCACCUGAAAUCCCUCCCACGGCAGGCUAUACACAAAGUAUUAGUGUUCUCUUAAGAGCAGAAAGGCAUUUCUGGCCACCUAUUGGUACACCCUUAUGUCAGGCUUACUAGGGACCCUCCUGGCCUCUUCCCUACAUGGGUCUUCAACUUGGCACAGUCUACACCAUCCCCAGGAUAUAAGCUGCUAAGAUAGCAUUGUCUUUUUUCAAAUUCAUCCAGGAUCAAAGAACAACAACUACUGAAAUGUAACUCUUAGGAAGGCUACUAUAUAUGGGACACCUCUGGUAAUCAUGCAUUAAAUUACUCCAAAAGAUAAAGGAUCCUGGGAUGUAAACCAUAGGGUGGAUUGAGAGCUGCUGGGAUUCCCUGACAGAAGAGACAUGAUGCAUCAUUGCUGGGACACUGUUGAUGAACUGACCCCCGUUCCCUGCUGUCCCCACCUUGCCCUGGGCCCCUUGCUCAUCUCCUCUAAGGAGUCCUGUUAGCUGGCUAGUGUGGAGAAAGCUGAGAUCUGAGGGAACAUCAGAGGCACUCACCAGCAUGUAAGAAUGUUCUUCUCCAUCCUGCAAGGGACAGACAGAGACGAAUGUCAUGAGAUGUUGCUGAGCAGAACUCAAAUUGUACAUGUAGUUAAGGAAAGGCUAAACUUACGCAAUUCUUCUUGAAGUUUCUCUGAAAAACAAACAAAGAAAAUCAUGUCUUUGACAGAAGAACUAAAAGAAGUUGGGUUUUUAGUAAACAAUGCAGGAACCGUCCUUUCUAUGAACAGCAACAUCUCCCUUCCCUCAUGCCUAGGGCACUGUCAGAAACCAGAAAUUAUGUAUGAUCAGGUGGCUGGGUAGUACCAGCACAUUGUUACACUUGCUUUUGCUCAACCAUUUAGUACUUUAUGUAGCCAGAUGAAUGAAUGCAAGGUGGGCAGAGUGAAAGAAUGAAAGCUCUGAGAGAUUCAUUCCAAGGACAUGAGAGUUCCAAGUCCUUGCUGCUGCUGUGCAUUUCCUCUCUCUUCUGUAUGCUGGUACCUGGGAGAGCUGUGUCCUUUCUAUGGUGGUGAACUGUCCUUCUACUCUUUUUCUUUUCUUUUUUUUUUUAAUUAAACAGGGUCU
rnacentral:lncRNA from 1 species